rnacentral:rRNA from 1 species
AACGAACGCUGGCGGCAGGCCUAACACAUGCAAGUCGAGCGGGCAUCCUUCGGGAUGUUAGCGGCGGACGGGUGAGUAACGCGUGGGAACGUGCCCUUUGCUACGGAAUAGCCUCGGGAAACUGAGAGUAAUACCGUAUGUGCCCUUCGGGGGAAAGAUUUAUCGGCAAAGGAUCGGCCCGCGUUGGAUUAGGUAGUUGGUGGGGUAAUGGCCUACCAAGCCGACGAUCCAUAGCUGGUUUGAGAGGAUGAUCAGCCACACUGGGACUGAGACACGGCCCAGACUCCUACGGGAGGCAGCAGUGGGGAAUCUUAGACAAUGGGGGAAACCCUGAUCUAGCCAUGCCGCGUGAGCGAUGAAGGCCUUAGGGUUGUAAAGCUCUUUCAGUGGAGAAGAUAAUGACGGUACCCACAGAAGAAGCCCCGGCUAACUCCGUGCC